rnacentral:sRNA from 2 species
CCCCGACGGCAUGUGCGUGAAGAGAUGAAAGAUACUGCUUCUACCCUUGCAAAUAUAUCAUCUCUAUGUCUCGGGGCAGAUCAUAAUUCCCUGUUAUGAAGUAUCCUUAUUUGCCCGACUUAGGGUGACUCAAUGAAUUUACUCCUUACAAUAAAGACAUAUAGCGGUGUCAAUAUUGUAGGGAGUAUUGUUUU